rnacentral:rRNA from 1 species
AUUGAACGCUGGCGGCAGGCCUAACACAUGCAAGUCGAACGAGCGGCGGACGGGUGAGUAAUGUCUGGGAAACUGCCUGAUGGAGGGGGAUAACUACUGGAAACGGUAGCUAAUACCGCAUACCAUCAGAUGUGCCCAGAUGGGAUUAGCUGGUGGGUGGGGUAAAGGCUCACCAAGGCGACGAUCCCUAGCUGGUCUGAGAGGAUGAUCAGCAACACGGGAACGGAGACACGGCCCAGACGCCUACGGGAGGCAGCAGUGGGGAAUAUGGCACAAUGGGCGCAAGCCGGAUGCAGCCAUGCCGCGUGUAUGAAGAAGGCCUUCGGGUUGUAAAGUACUUUCAGCGGGGAGGCGUUACCCGCAGAAGAAGCACCGGCUAACUCCGUGCCAGCAGCCGCGGUAAUAC